rnacentral:rRNA from 1 species
ACGGGAGGCAGCAGUGGGGAAUAUUGGGCAAUGGGCGAAAGCCUGACCCAGCAACGCCGCGUGAAGGAAGAAGGCCUUCGGGUUGUAAACUUCUUUUAUCAGGGACGAAGAAAGUGACGGUACCUGACGAAUAAGCCACGGCUAACUACGUGCCAGCAGCCGCGGUAAUACGUAGGUGGCGAGCGUUAUCCGGAUUUACUGGGUGUAAAGGGCGCGUAGGCGGGGAUGCAAGUCAGAUGUGAAAUCCAUGGGCUUAACCCAUGAACUGCAUUUGAAACUGUAUCUCUUGAGUGUCGGAGAGGUAGACGGAAUUCCUAGUGUAGCGGUGAAAUGCGUAGAUAUUAGGAGGAACACCAGUGGCGAAGGCGGUCUACUGGACGAUAACUGACGCUGAGGCGCGAAAGCGUGGGGAGCAAACAGGAUUAGAUACCCUGGUA